rnacentral:rRNA from 1 species
CAGUCGCCACGGUAAUACGAAGGGUGCAAGCGUUAAUCGGAAUUACUGGGCGUAAAGCGUGCGUAGGCGGUUUGUUAAGACAGAUGUGAAAUCCCCGGGCUCAACCUGGGAACUGCAUUUGUGACUGGCAAGCUAGAGUCUGGCAGAGGGGGGUGGAAUUCCGCGUGUAGCAGUGAAAUGCGUAGAUAUGCGGAGGAACACCGAUGGCGAAGGCAGCCCCCUGGGCCAACACUGACGCUCAUGCACGAAAGCGUGGGGAGCAAACAGGAUUAGAUACCCCCGUAGUCCCUGUCUCUUAUAC